UGGGGAAUAUUGGACAAUGGACCAAGAGUCUGAUCCAGCAAUUCUGUGUGCACGAUGAAGUUUUUCGGAAUGUAAAGUGCUUUCAGUUGGGAAGAAAGAAAUGACGGUACCUACAGAAGAAGCAACGGCUAAAUACGUGCCAGCAGCCGCGGUAAUACGUAUGUUGCGAGCGUUAUCCGGAAUUAUUGGGCUUAAAGGGCAUCUAGGCGGUAAGACAAGUUGAAGGUGAAAACCUGUGGCUCAACCAUAGGCUUGCCUACAAAACUGUUGAACUAGAGUACUGGAAAGGUGGGUGGAACUACACGAGUAGAGGUGAAAUUCGUAGAUAUGUGUAGGAAUGCCGAUGAUGAAGAUAACUCACUGGACAGAAACUGACGCUGAAGUGCGAAAGCUAGGGGAGCAAACAGG
rnacentral:rRNA from 1 species